AGUGAACGCUGGCGGUAGGCCUAACACAUGCAAGUCGAACGGCAGCACAGUAAGAGCUUGCUCUUACGGGUGGCGAGUGGCGGACGGGUGAGGAAUACAUCGGAAUCUACUUUUUCGUGGGGGAUAACGUAGGGAAACUUACGCUAAUACCGCAUACGACCUACGGGUGAAAGCAGGGGAUCUUCGGACCUUGCGCGAUUGAAUGAGCCGAUGUCGGAUUAGCUAGUUGGCGGGGUAAAGGCCCACCAAGGCGACGAUCCGUAGCUGGUCUGAGAGGCUGAUCAGCCACACUGGAACUGAGACACGGUCCAGACUCCUACGGGAGGCCGCAGUGGGGAAUAUUGGACAAUGGGCGCAAGCCUGAUCCAGCCAUACCGCGUGGGUGAAGAAGGCCUUCGGGUUGUAAAGCCCUUUUGUUGGGAAAGAAAAGCAGCAGGUUAAUACCCCGCUGUUCUGACGGUACCCAAAGAAUAAGCACCGGCUAACUUCGUG
rnacentral:rRNA from 1 species